rnacentral:rRNA from 1 species
CAUUCACGGAGAGUUUGAUCCUGGCUCAGGACGAACGCUGGCGGCGUGCUUAACACAUGCAAGUCGAACGAUGAAGCCCUUCGGGGUGGAUUAGUGGCGAACGGGUGAGUAACACGUGGGCAAUCUGCCCUUCACUCUGGGACAAGCCCUGGAAACGGGGUCUAAUACCGGAUAACACUUUCCUCCUCCUGGAGGAAGGUUGAAAGCUCCGGCGGUGAAGGAUGAGCCCGCGGCCUAUCAGCUAGUUGGUGGGGUAAUGGCCUACCAAGGCGACGACGGGUAGCCGGCCUGAGAGGGCGACCGGCCACACUGGGACUGAGACACGGCCCAGACUCCUACGGGAGGCAGCAGUGGGGAAUAUUGCACAAUGGGCGAAAGCCUGAUGCAGCGACGCCGCGUGAGGGAUGACGGCCUUCGGGUUGUAAACCUCUUUCAGCAGGGAAGAAGCGAAAGUGACGGUACCUGCAGAAGAAGCGCCGGCUAACUACGUGCCAGCAGCCGCGGUAAUACGUAGGGCGCAAGCGUUGUCCGGAAUUAUUGGGCGUAAAGAGCUCGUAGGCGGCUUGUCACGUCGGUUGUGAAAGCCCGGGGCUUAACCCCGGGUCUGCAGUCGAUACGGGCAGGCUAG